CCCCUCUCAGGGUCACACCCGGAGAGUUCUCCGUACUCUACCAGUCUUGACUACAGGAGGGAGAGUCAGGCAGAGGCCUAUCCACUCCGUUCCUAGCUUGGGCAGUGGCUAGCGAGUGGAAGACAAUCCGCUACAAGU
rnacentral:snoRNA from 1 species